UCCGUAGGCGGGCGUCUAAGUCAGUGGUGAAAUCUUACGGCUCAACUGUAAAAUUGCCAUUGAUACUGGAUGUCUUGAAUUAGUGUGAAGUGGUUAGAAUGUGUAGUGUAGCGGUGAAAUGCAUAGAUAUUACACAGAAUACCAAUUGCGAAGGCAGAUCACUAACACUAUAUUGACGCUGAGGGACGAAAGCGUGGGGAGCGAACAGGAUUAGAUACCCUGGUAGUCC
rnacentral:rRNA from 1 species